UGCCCCGCACUGCUGGGCAAUCUGGGUGUGUCCCGAGGUUCCUGGAAAGUUGGCUCAUUUCCUCCUUGGUGAGGUCAGUUUCAGUUUAAGCUGCUUUGCAUAAAAAAACAAAAAUCCUCUUUCCUCUUGACCGGAAAACAUAGAGCCUGAGGUGGCAUUGAGUAAGGAUGGGGCAGUGAGAAGACUCGGGUUUUCCUCUUGUUCUUCAGGACUGGGGUGGGGGGAGUCACUCAACCAGGCAAGGUGUGCCUGGAAUCUUGCUAAGCAAACUCUGGAACAUGGUCCGUAAUCGUUGGUGGAUUAAUGGGCAAACCUCUUCCUCAAACCUUGUCUGAUUCCUGCGCGGGUCCUCCUCCCUGCACUGCCAUAGUCCUGUGGCCCUUUUCUUCAGAAACCCUAUCGCAGUGUCAUUGUAUGUGGAUUUGGGAAAUUAAUUUCUUCCCCCCCUCCUUCCAUGAGGAGCUGGGUGUUUCGCUUGCCGUGGACUCACUAGCAGCUGGCGUGUGCCUGGCACACAGCAGGCGCUCGUCAUAUAUAUUCAUUCAGUAAAUGAAUACUUAAAAUGCCCAAGAUUAAGUAUGCCAAAGGUCAAUUAUGGCAUGAGUCUUUGCAAAAAGAUUCGUCACUGGGCUUCAUCAUUCUGAAAACAUUUGAGAAGCACCUGCCGCAUGCCCUGUCCUGCGCUAGGUAACACGGGGAGGGCCUAUACAAGGGUGAAGAAAACAGGAUCUCUACCCAUAAGAGUAAGGGCAGGCUGGGGGUGAGACCCAUCUUGUGCUGUGGCUGCUCUCGUGCCUUCCUCUUUUGUUCUCCUGUAAACAAAGCUGUUUCCCCUAUGGCCGUGGUGGGGUGAAGCCAUGAGGCACAUCCUAGCCCCCGAGAUUAGAAGACCAGACUCUCAGAGAUGGCUUCUCACGGUCGGGCAGAAGUGAAUCAUGUCUUGGAACUAGAGAGGCAGGAAGUCCGGCAUCAGGAGAGAUCUCGGAGAUGGUCUGAGUCUGUUGUCCCUGGACCCUCCAGAUCUUGGCUCCUUCAUACUGAAAGCUGGGUGGCGGCCAGCCUGGAGAACUCAUGCCCCCCCGCCCCCGCAUGGAAACCACGGAAUUUCCCCAGUAAGUUGUCUUUGGCAACUCCAGUGCUACAGGAAGGUCAGAACUGGUGAUACACGGAGUGAAGGCCAGGGAGGAAGUGCCAGGCCCGCCUACAUCGUCUGGGGCCCCUCCCACGGGGACAAGAAAGCUCCGUGUCUGGACGAACAGGACCCUGACCCAACCAGGAGCAUUUCGGUUGCAGGUUACUUUCAGAGGGUAUUUCCAGGAUUUGGCUUGGUGCUCCCCUGCCUGAGGACAGCCUCAUCCCUGCUUUUCUGCCUUCUGGUUGAAUUUGAGGUGAGGUGGAAGGAAUGGCCAGCAGUGAAUACUUGCACUUCCUGACAGGUAUUGUUCCUGAAGGUACACUCCAAUAAGCCUCCUGGAUGCAGAUCUCUGCCUCAAAAUCUAUUUCCUAUGUAGUCCCACCUAGGAAAGUUGGUGCCCAAGCUGUCCUAGCAAUGAAGCCCGCUGGCCGGCCAGCAAUGAGGAUCCCAUCAUUGGCAGUAGGUGGACUUCGGAUAGCGCUGGCAUGCUGCAGCUGUGCAGUUAUUCGAACUUUCACUGGUAGCGAACUGGGAUAGGGCUCCGGUGGAAGGGACACAAGGCAUAAGAACUCAGUUCUUUGAGAUGUUUGGGAGAAGUGGUACUUAAAAGGACUAUGGAAUUAAAUGGUGCUUCUGUCUGCUACUGAAGGAUUGGAGAAAAAAAAACCCCAAUGAAAUACUGAGGGCAAUUAACUUCCAAUUCAAGAUGAAAUGUGAAAGCCAGAGGACCUUCUUGGCAGCCUGUAAGCAGACUCUCAAAUCCCGCAGCCAGAUGGAAGCAAAAGUUGAAGAUUGGUUCCAGGACUUUAUAAAUAGUAGCAAAACUCCAUAGAAGAGUGGAGCCAUGCCAAGUCUGUUACACCAAGGUUAGGGUCACGAAUGGGAAGGAGUGGAACCCUGAAACUUGAGAUGGGAAUAUCUCAUCUGGGUUGAUGAACUUGAACAUCUGGAAUCCUCGGAUUCCUCUGGGCCUGAGGAAGGAAAUUUUUCCUUCCUGUGAAAGGCCGCUUACCCUCCUCUACUUGAAGAUGAUGUAUAGACCUUUACCUUAUUAGACAACAUGAACUUGCUCCCCAUAAUCAACCCCCAUCUUGCCUUCUGGCCAUCAGACUAAUGACUAGGGUCAAGUAACAAUAUAGCCUAGCACUUUCCAUAGCUGCUCAGGGAGGAAGUGGACUGUAUGCCAAGGACCUGCAGAAUCUAGCCAACAUGUAUUGGCAGGAGCUGGGAGAAUAUAUAUGGGACAGGAUGCUAAGGACGUUAAAUUAACGAGGGUGAGAUAAAAUGUUGGAUAAAGAAGAAUUUAUGGUUAUGAGAGCCUUCUCCGUAACAGGAUUUAACAUUCUGGGGAAUAGUGUUAAUUUGCUGCAGGAAUGGUUUUUGAGGAAGCUUUGAAAAAGUGAAAUAGAAAAUUCAGACUGCUUUGGGAGACAGUAAAGGAUUAAAAGUCUCAGAGACAUGUGUAUUCUAUAGUGGAUAUAUAAGUCUGAAAAAUCCACUUGCUGACUAUGUUCUGCAGAGGAAUCCAUUUUCUAAAGUGAUAAGGAAUGUGCUCGUAAGAGCGGCACCAGAAUCAUUGAGAAACUCCGUGGUGACCAUCUUUUGCAGGCCAGGGCUUCAGCAGUAAGCUUUGUCUUUGUAAGUCUUCACUACCUGGGGGCGCCUGGGUGGCGCCUUCUUUAAGCGUCUGCCUUCGGCUCAGGGCAUGAUCCCAGCGUUCUGGGAUCGAGCCCCACAUCAGGCUCCUCCGCUAUGAGCCUGCUUCUUCCUCUCCCACUCCCCCUGCUUGUGUUCCCUCUCUCCCUGGCUUGUCUCUGUCAAAUAAAUAAAUAAAUAAAUAUCUUUAAAAAAAAAAAAAAGUCUUCACUACCUGAUAGCCAUGGGGAUGAUAGGAUCCGAAAGUAACAGAGGCCAGGUGGUAGGACUAAAAUCGUCAGAAGCAAAGUGGGCACAAUUAUCAUGAAGUAAAGGGCGGAGUGGCGCUCAGAGGAGUCUAACACAUAGCGAGUUAUGGAGAUGUUUAAGAGAUGCGUGUCUAGGGGACAAGGUAAAUGGACAACCAGUAGGAAUUUUGAGUAUUGCUCAAUCUGUAAAAUAAGAAAUCAAGAAUGGAUGAUCAGAAGGCUGAGACCAGCCGCCCCCAAAAAGUCAUGAUUCUUUGCCCAGUUCCUAUACCAGAGUCCGUUUUCAGAUCAGAGCUCAGUGGGUGAAGCCAGUGGAAGUCCUUGCCAGAGAAGAUUAAUAGGGUCUCAGGUACAGACUGUUGAUAUUAUGAAUGCAUUCUUUUCCAUUCUGGCAAGAAAAAAAAAUAAGCCUUUUGCAUUCUUGUGAGAUGGACACAGCUGUACACCUUUCUGUUGUUGUCCCAGGGCCAUGUUAACUUUUCAUCCUCUGUCAUAGUACAAAGGGACCUGGACCACCUGGAGAUGCAGACUAUCACAUGGUCUCUUAUAUUUGUGGAUGACCUCAUUAGGCUGGAUGAGCCAGAAGGCACAAAUAUCUCGGUGAACUUGGAAAGACACCUGUGCUCCAGUCAGUUAGAGAGAAACCCUAUGAAGAGUCAGUGGCCUACAACAUCAGUGAAGUUUUUAGAGAUCUGGUGGUCUAGGCAUGUCAGGACAUUUCCUUCUAAAGUAAAGGACAAAUUAUUGUGAUGAUAUUAGGUAGAAGCUAGACAUGAGUAGUGAAAGGAACGCCCUGAGGGAGAGUCCCAAGUCCUUGAAGGGGAAUGAUAGCGACAGGACCUGGAAGCAAGGACGGUGAUUAAAAAAAAAAAAAAAAA